AGCGAACGCUGGCGGCAGGCCUAACACAUGCAAGUCGAACGAACUCUUCGGAGUUAGUGGCGGACGGGUGAGUAACACGUGGGAACGUGCCUUUUGGUUCGGAAUAACUCAGGGAAACUUGUGCUAAUACCGAAUGUGCCCUUCGGGGGAAAGAUUUAUCGCCAUUAGAGCGGCCCGCGUCUGAUUAGCUAGUUGGUGAGGUAACGGCUCACCAAGGCGACGAUCAGUAGCUGGUCUGAGAGGAUGACCAGCCACACUGGGACUGAGACACGGCCCAGACUCCUACGGGAGGCAGCAGUAAUGAAUCUUGCGCAAUGGGCGAAAGCCUGACGCAGCCAUGCCGCGUGAAUGAUGAAGGUCUUAGGAUUGUAAAAUUCUUUCACCGGGGACGAUAAUGACGGUACCCGGAGAAGAAGCCCCGGCUAACUUCGUG
rnacentral:rRNA from 1 species